AGCAAAUUUUAUUACAUUUGUACGUAAUUAUCGCAUUGCUGAAAAUUAUAAGCACCCUUGUAUGCACACUCCCAUUGGACCUGCAACUAAUAUUCAUACAUACACACAUCAGUACCGUCACUAAAGUCGCAAAUUUUCUCCUCAUGAAAAAGCGUGAAAAAAUAUGCUGGCUUACACAUAUUACCUUCAAGUCAAUUUUCUAUUCAAUCUACAUAGGAUGCAAUUAAGGGUAAAUGUUCAUGCCAACUUUAUCGUCCAUAUCAGGUGCAUUAAAAAUCAAUUGAAAAUCUAACAAAAUUUAAGCAAUUUCCAUCCCGGUGCAUAGUACAUUUAUUCCAUCAUAUUCUCAUUUCCAUCAAUUUAUUUAACUCACAAAAUUACGACAACUUCAAGCAAAGUACGUAGCAUAAUAGAUUGAUGGUAAGUAAAAAUGUUUAUAUGAGUAUUCUAGUAAGAAGUAUAUACGUUUGUAUUUAUAUAAUGCCAACAAAAUUAUGCGGCCGAUUUUUUUUAGAGCGAAUUCUAAUAGAUUUUUUCCGUAGAUUAAGCCUCUAAUCUCUAAAUUAUGCAAUUGGGUUUUUGAGAUAUUCGGGAUUAAAAGUAUCGAAAAACGAAAUUUACCAUUUUUAGAGCUUUAGUAUUAGAAUAUCAAUGUAAUGUGGAAUAAUUUGACGGCAUAAAAGGAAAGCUUAAAUAUCCACAGGUAUGUCUGUUCCAUUAUUUCUUGAGGAAAGAGAGAAGAAAGACCGUUUUCUUGAGAGCUACAUACUGGCCUUAACAACGAAAACCUGAAAGACGUGCCCAGAUAUGAUAAAAUAUCGAAUAAGUAUAAUGGAGUGCAUUUGUAAAAGGUACAAAAUUUUAACAUUCUACAUUUAUCACAAAUUUUCGAAACAUUUGACAGAUAAACCGAGCUUCUAAAAGAGAACUAAUACAAAAUUUAAAUGAAUU